rnacentral:sRNA from 1 species
AUGUACCACGCGUCCACUGCGGUUCUGGCGCACCGUCCGCGCCCAGCUGACCGCUGCUCGCGACGUGUUGUCAGCC